AAUGAUUGUUAUCCCUUUGAGCGGUCAAUGAUCAUUUUCUUCGGAAUACGACAUUAGUAUGGUGAAGCAAUGACGUGUUGAUCAAUCAUACUGAAUUAUCAAUCGAGGUGUGUUUGAAGGUAUGAAAUUGCUGCAUUAGGAUUCAUGACGGUACAAGGGUUAUGUUGUCAAAGAGUUAUGCGAUUAGAGUUGUGACUGCACAAGAGUUGUGCUUUAAAGUAUC
rnacentral:lncRNA from 1 species